GAGGUACUCCCUCCGUUCUAAAUUACUUGUCUUAGAUUUAUCUAGAUACAGAUGUAUCUAGACUCAUUUUAAUAUUAGAUAUAUUUAUAUCUAAACAAAUCUAAGACAAGUAAUUCAGAACGGAGGGAGUAUGAC
rfam:Triticum urartu cultivar G1812 contig867959, whole genome shotgun sequence.